GCUCCGCAGGCCGCGAAAGAGAGCCCGUUACCUGGACCCCUACUCGCGCGGGUAGAGCGAAACUGAGCACCCUGGGAUGCGAGCAGCUUUUUAGUACUCCCGGGUCCAAAAUCUCACCACCAGGCCGGGAUGAUCAAAACGUCUGCCGGGUCUGCAGCCUACAAACGUGGAUCUGCCGACACUGUGCUGUCGACGACAUGUCCGGCAAGGCACCUCCGGAGCUCCUUGCGUGAAAGCAAGGAACGCUUUUUUUUUAGAAAGGAAGCUUCUUCUCCAAAAUUUAAAAAUUUUGAAAAUUAUUCCUUCUGAAAAUAUCAUCGCGUUCUUGACCUCGAAGCUGACUGCUGAAUGCAAUUAGGAAAGAAGAUUCCUGAAGAUACACCAGACUGAUUCUGGCAAGCCGUCUGUCGUCUAGAUAUGCAGUUGUUCGUCAUGCAUGGUCAGCAAUCUUCCUCGUUCGUCCUUUCGUUUUCCUGACCACGAUGAUGACAAGCAGCUCUCAUGCUCAGGAUUCUGAAAGCUGGAGCAGCUCUGCUUACCUCGACCACUGAACUUACAACUAACUUCCAACCAAGUACAAGGCAAUAUUAUGAUGAAUCAAGCACGCUUGCCAUCAUGUCAUCAUUGCAAAGUACAUCGACAACAUAGAUUUGGUGCCGACUAUGUAUGAUGUAGAGUGUGCUCUAUGUAUCUAUACUACUGAUUGGCCUACAUUGUACUUAUGUGGGCUGAGAGUAAUCGAUUGUGCUAUAUGGCAGUUUACUUGUAUGUCAUAGAUGUUAACAUUGCACACAGCUUCUGAAAUGCUUUCUGUUGCACUGGCCUACUGCGGCCCACUGCAAAUAGAUUGUAGUGGCAUGGGCCAUGCCAUAAUUAUAGUAGUAUACCGGUACUACACCAACAAUUUCACUGGUGCACUGUACUUACUGGUACGAGUAGAUCUACAUCAUGCACAGCCUUGUCACUGCUUUUCUCAUUUUUUAUUAAUUUACUGUACUGUACACAUUCUGGCACAGCUCUUCCACAAAGAGUUACUAGUAUUUUCUUCUGCAUACCUACUGUAUACAGUGACCUGACUGGUAACAUCUAUGGCUGUGAAAUCACAAAUUUCUGGGUUGACAGCCUCGAACCUAUACGAUUUGUUUCUAAGAACGUGCUAUAAGAAAUUUUCUAUUGAAGUAUUCUACUGUAGCUCGCAGGACAUGGAGUGCAAUUACGUAAAGUUUGGAACACCA